GAUAUCCAAAUAAUAUUCAAGUUGAUGUUUAUAUUUACUUUACAAUAAUUAAUUAAUGUUUUUCCUUUUCAUUAGUGGUACUUUUAUAGAUAUUUUGUUAUGACUGCCCAAAUUCCUCUUAUUCAACAUUAUGUACAGUUCUUGUUUGGACUAAAGUUGCAAAUCACUUUUGAAAGCAUGGGGCUACCAGCCAGAAGACAUAUGCAGCUGUGGAGCAGUACAGACAAUGUCCCUGUGGUGAUCACAGUUGGCUGCUGUGUGUGUUCCUCCUCCUCCUUCUGCCACUCCCCCUGUCUGUCUCACUUCACACCUGGCCCUGAUCUGCAAUUACGCUCACCUGGUCUUCACCUCCAAUCAACUCCCCUUCAUAACCCUUGGAUUCCCUGCAGUCGGUGCACGAUCGUACUACUCUCUACUGUGUAUCUAACCGUAACAGUUCCACCUACUCGGUGUGAUCACGCCCCCCAGUGCAGCCCCCAGGACCUGGCUGAACCCCAUCAGCUGUGACCUGCGCCAGAUACUGGCAGAACGACAUCUGAGAUUGCAACGGACUCGAAGAACUACACUUGCAUGCAGGAAAUCUCAUCUGUUUAUGGGAUAUAAACCUGAGACCGGUAACACUAGGAAAAGAGGGCAUGGACGACCGAGAGAGAGGCAGCAAAGGAGUGAGAGCUGUAUUACAUAUAGACUCCAGAGCGGAGGUGGAACACAUUGUUUUUGUAUAUUUGUUCUCGCGGCGUUUGGCUUCAUCAUGGGUACCUGAGAUGGAGGGAGAGAGGGAGAGAGAGAGGGAGGGAGGGAGGAACAACUGCUGUGCCACCGUUCUGAAACUGCACCACUGACCAACUGCGCCCUGCCUCGCUAUCCAUUUUGGCCUUGGAUGCAAAUCAAAGUCUUAAUUUUUAAUGGUAGUAGUCCCCCCCGUCUAUUUUGACUGUAGCUACAUGGGCUUUUGUUCUCAGGAAGGGUGGGGUGAAAUAAGCUUAAAAUGGUCAGCAGAGCUGACAGGGCAACCAGGGAAACGGAAUAUGUAGUAGCCCAAUAUUUUAAACUCCUUGUGAGCAAGCCUUCGUUUGGUCCGUCCCCACAUUCACUUUUGUCAGUCCCAAUGUCGUUGUCAGAGUCGUCCCCACAUUCACUUUUGUCAGUCCCCAUGUCGUUGUCAUUCGAGUCCAGAAUUUUUACUGGCCCCUAUGCAUUUUUCUUUUUUAUUAGUUGUCAAUUUUUUUUUUUUUUAAAUGUUCCUCUGUUUAUUAAAGUUAUCUCAAAACAAACUUCCAUGGAGGGCUCUGAAAACAAAGAGCAAACGUAGAGGACGCCUGGCUCUAGCUCAACUACACCGGGCAAUGUAGCAGUGGUGUUGUUAUGACCUUGUUUCCCUUUUCGAAUAGAUGGCAUUUUCGUUUUAUGUGGCAAAGCUUACUCACCCCUAAGGCGUCAUUCAGUCCACUGACUAUAUACGUUCCAAUGUACGAUGAAUCACAGGGAUAAGUGAAGUAAGGCUCUUUUUUUUGGAAUGUUCUGUAAAUGAUGUAGACAUUUUCCUCUGAUUUAAUGACAUUUGCAACUAAAGCAAAGCCAUCUCCCACCAUAAUGCAAUUGUCCCCCUUCUUCGUUGACAAGGUAAAUUGAUCUGUCGAAACCUUCCUGUAUUGUGUGUCUUUAAUGAACUGUGGGGGAACAGGGCCAUCAGUAUGCAUGUGUUGCAAUAUCGGGUCACUGCUUGGAUUUUGUGUCCUUCCAGGUGGCAUUUCAGACAGCCUUUUCACUACCUGCUGUAGAGGCUGAUGUGGCUUGCGUAGAAGAUGUUUUAUUUGCCCCAGACAGUUUUCAUAGGGGAAAGCUGAUAUGUUGUCUAGGGGCCCAAACUUUUUGUAUUCCUCUGCCAAAUGGAUUAAUUGAUGCACAUUAUAAACAAUCUCCUCCCUACCAUACAACUGUCCAUAAUAGUCAACAAAAGAAACCAUCAGCUUCUCUGCAAAGGCCAACAUCUUAACACAAACACCAGGGGACAGCAACAGGUACAUACCAACAGAAAACAACAUAAAAUGAUCAUAAAUCUCACUAGGAAGAGAAUCCUUCAAAACAAUAGGACCCCAAUACAACAUGAAGGAUCUAAGCUCGGUUGCUUUCCAACGAUCGAUUUCGGACAGUUCCCUUGGCUUGCGGUUAAAUUCACAUGGCGUGAGCACAUUAAUCAUUAGCAACUGCUUGGAAAUUGUAGCAACCGUUUGUGAGGGAAGCCUUGUUGCCUUAUUUUUGCCCUUUAACCAGAUAUUAAGUAGCUUCCUUGUUACCCCCAGACAACAAAGAUGCAUAUAAUCAAUAGGGAACAUGGAAACCAUUUGAACCACCCCAGCUAAAGGUGAGCUCCCAAGGUGAUGUUCCUCAUCAAUCAUAUCAGUGAAGCUUGAGUCAGUCCUUAGUCUCACAAUGGUCUCAGGAUAUGUCAUUUUGUUUUUCCACACACCCUCCUGAAAACAUUUGUCACACCCGGAAUAGCCGUUGAAUGCCUUUGUCUGCUUAAUGUAAGCUCUUGCGGGAGCAUCACAAAUAAAAGAGGAAACCAAAACCUUAAA